UCCCUGGUGGUCCAGUGGCUAAGACGCCACACUCCCAAUGCAGGGGGGCCAGGGUUCGAUCCCUGGUCAGGGAA
rfam:TPA: Bos taurus chromosome 25, whole genome shotgun sequence.